rnacentral:sRNA from 23 species
AUGAAACAAAAACAAUGGAAGCCCUUCCUCUCAUCCAUCCUUGCCGCUCCGAAGCGGCGCCAGUGUGAAU